GCUUUUGAAGGAUCAUAGCUUAUCCGUU
rnacentral:tRNA from 1 species